rnacentral:tRNA from 1 species
GGGCUGGGGCUCAGUGGCAGAGCGCUCGCCUCGCAUGCGUGGGGCACUGGGUUCGAUCCUCAGCACCACA